ACACGACUACAUUAGAUACCCGGGUAGUCCUAGGCGUAAAUGAUGCGAGUUAAGUGGGGGGUUUCAUCUACGAGAUGGCCCUGUGCUGUAGGGUAGCCGUUAAACUCGCUGCCUGGGGAGUACGGUCGCAAGGCUGAAACUUAAAGGAAUUGGCGGGGAGCACCACAAGAGGUGGAGGCUGCGGUUCAAUUGGACUCAACGCCGGAAAACUCAUCGGGAGCGACAGCAGUAUGAUUGCCAGGUUGAUGACCUUGCUUGACAAGCUG
rnacentral:rRNA from 1 species